GGUCUAUAGCUUAGUGGUAGAGAACUUGCCUAGCAUGUACGUGGCACUGGGUUUGAUUCUCAGCACCA
rnacentral:tRNA from 1 species